GCUCUAAAGGCAUUUAUAGGGCAAAUGUAUUUUUAUAUAUUUUAUUUUGAGAGGAAACAACUUCCAAAAGUUGUAUCAUGGUAUAACAUGAUUUUACAAAUUUUCUGGGAUUCAUUUGGACCAAUUUGGAGUUCCAACUCAAAAGAUAUCAAAGAAAUGAGAAAAACAGAAAAAGAAAAAAAAAAGGUAAACCGGACCGGCCCGGCCACUUUGGGCCGAACCGGCCCAGUCCGACCGCGCC
rnacentral:lncRNA from 1 species